UAGGGAAUCUUCGGCAAUGGGGGGAACCCUGACCGAGCAACGCCGCGUGAGUGAAGAAGGUUUUCGGAUCGUAAAGCUCUGUUGUAAGAGAAGAACGGGUGUGAGAGUGGUAAGUUCACACUGUGACGGUAUCUUACCAGAAAGGGACGGCUAACUACGUGCCAGCAGCCGCGGUAAUACGUAGGUCCCGAGCGUUGUCCGGAUUUAUUGGGCGUAAAGCGAGCGCAGGCGGUUAGAUAAGUCUGAAGUUAAAGGCUGUGGCUUAACCAUAGUAUGCUUUGGAAACUGUUUAACUUGAGUGCAGAAGGGGAGAGUGGAAUUCCAUGUGUAGCGGUGAAAUGCGUAGAUAUAUGGAGGAACACCGGUGGCGAAAGCGGCUCUCUGGUCUGUAACUGACGCUGAGGCUCGAAAGCGUGGGGAGCAAACA
rnacentral:rRNA from 1 species